GACCUGAAGUGCAAGUGCGAGUGUGUCCAUUCUGGGACAGGAACAUAGAUCCAUAGACAGGAACAUAGAACAUCUAUUUCUUGUGGGGUCAAACAGAGCCAGCAAGCAGAGUGCUGAUUAGUCUGAAGGAUCUGGGUUCGAGUGCCUCCUCCUGCUGUAGAACCCUUCAGUAGAGAACAGCAGGCAGCCCCCCCCCAAGGGUGCGCGUUCCUUCACGAUGGGGUGUCACCCACGGUGCGACCUCAGGAGCCACCCGUGCGUGUGUUACUCUUCCCGGAGAGACAACCACCGGACGAAAAAGAGAUGUAUCUCGAGACGUCGUCGUCAGCACUCCAACUUCUGAAAUAUGCGGAACAUCGACACCUGGCGCAGAGUAACGGCUUGUCCUGAGCAGGGUCACGGUGGCG